UGAUCGUUUCAUAUGAUCUUGUUUGAGUUUACGAAUGAUGUUUCGUUAAAUAUUGUCAAGCCUUUAUUUUACGAAAUUUAUUACGCAAACUGUUUUCAAGUCAAUUUUACGAAAGUUGUUUCGUAAAAUGUUGCCGAGUUAAAUCUUACGAAAAUUACUUUGUAAAAUGUCGUCGAGUUUAAUUUUACGAAAGUUUAUUUGUAAAAUAUAGUCGAGUUUAAUCUUUCGAAUUGUUUCGUACAAAGUCGUCGAGUUUAAAUUUACAAAUAUUGUUUCAAAAAAUA
rnacentral:lncRNA from 1 species